UCCCUCGAAAGCUGUUUACUAGUCUUUUGUAUUGAUCGACCGUCAAGGCCGGAUCUCCAGGUGUUGUUCUCACCUUGAUUUGGCGCGUCUCAGGCGCUGCGAUGGGUGCUACGCUAACGCCGCCGCCGUCCGCCGGAUACGGCCCGGACGGCGACGAUACUGCAAAUGAUCUCAUCGUCGGUGAUGAUGGCGGCCUCACUUUCAUCCAGGGUUGAGCGAAAGCCAACCCAUGAUAUAUAGCUCGGGCGCUUAUAUAAAUGACCGAGAUGUACAAGGGCAAACCGAGGCCUGUCCGGAACCGCGACGAUGCGCUCAUGCCUCAAUAUAUGCUCCGCAACUGCUGGUCGACUGUUCGUCAUCAUCAAAAAUAAAGGGCGAGCUAGCUAGGGUCUGUUCAAGUGUUCAUCCUUUGGCGUCAUUUCGUGAAGUCGCAGAAAUAGCAACGUUGGUACUGGGUGUGUCGGAUGGUAUGAAGAAACAAGUACAGCAUGUUUCUUUACUACUACUAGUGAAGAUAUAUUCAGUGGUGAAACAAGAUAAAAUUCAGAAGUGGCCCUCGGUACCAUAUGUUUGGUGUGAAUAUUUCUUAUGGUAUAUGAGGGCCUGGUGUGUAUAUGUUAUUUGUGUGAUGUAAUACUUCCAGCAUAUCUUAUGUAAGAAACCCUUAUCAGAGUUUGGUAUAUAUAUCCUUUUGCUCCUA